GGAAAAGUUGAUGUAGGACAGCUAGGACUAUGAAGAACUUGAGGAAACAAAAAUUCCUAAAUCUGAAUUCUUAAAUUUUCUUGUGAAAAGAAAAAAAAGAUUGUAAGUUUCUUAGUUAAACUUCUGCAGGCUUCCCACUGAAGGUUAGAAUUCUAGUGUAAAAUCCCAAAUAGAAUUAGAGACCAAUUCCUAUAAAAUAGUUAUUUCUUUAUUUAUUGAAAUAAGAAAAGCAUAUAUUAUAGGCUGAAAGUAAUCUUAAAUGUGUAAGAACUUGGACUCCUAGUCUUAAGCAGGACGGAGUUCCAAUAACAAGGCUAGAACAUACCUAAACUUCAAACAUCCUUUAAUGCAUGUGGAUAGUAAAUUCUGG
rnacentral:misc_RNA from 1 species